GAUGAACGCUGGCGGCGUGCCUAAUACAUGCAAGUCGAGCGAACAGAUAAGGAGCUUGCUCCUUUGACGUUAGCGGCGGACGGGUGAGUAACACGUGGGUAACCUACCUAUAAGAAUGGAAUAACUCCGGGAAACCGGGGAUAAUACCGGAUAACAUUUAGAACCGAACGGAUCUCCAGUGAAAGAUGGUUUUGCUAUCACUUAUAUGUGGACCCGCGCCGUAUUAGCUAGUUGGUAAGGUUACGGCUUACCAAGGCAACGAUACGUAGCCGACCUGAGAGGGUGAUCGGCCACACUGGAACUGAGACACGGUCCAGACUCCUACGGGAGGCAGCAGUAGGGAAUCUUCCGCAAUGGGCGAAAGCCUGACGGAGCAACGCCGCGUGAGUGAUGAAGGGUUUCGGCUCGUAAAACUCUGUUAUUAGGGAAGAACAAACGUGUAAGUAACUGUGCACGUCUUGACGGUACCUAAUCAGAAAGCCACGGCUAACUACGUGCCAGCAGCCGCGGUAACAC
rnacentral:rRNA from 1 species